rnacentral:rRNA from 1 species
UACGUAGGGUGCAAGCGUUAAUCGGAAUUACUGGGCGUAAAGCGUGCGCAGGCGGUUUUGUAAGUCUGUCGUGAAAUCCCCCGGGCUCAACCUGGGAAUUGCGAUGGAGACUGCAAGGCUAGAAUCUGGCAGAGGGGGGGUAGAAUUCCACGUGUAGCAGUGAAAUGCGUAGAGAUGUGGAGGAACACCGAUGGCGAAGGCAGCCCCCUGGGUCAAGAUUGACGCUCAUGCACGAAAGCGUGGGGAGCAAACGAGG